rnacentral:lncRNA from 10 species
UGUGACAGCAAGUGGCAUUUCCCAAGGCUCAAUCACACCAGGACCUCGGGUGACUAUGCAAGGUGAUUUCUCUUCGGGAUUUUCCUACCACAGGAUCAUUGCACCCCUUGGCCAGGUAUCAUCCAUCAACCCCUGUCAUCUGUCAAGAGUGGCUGCUGGAGGCAUCACCCUCUGCCCCCCAGGACUUCAGUCCUAGCUGGUGCACUCCUGGCUUUGGGGCAUCCUCCGCUCGAGUGGCAGGUGCUGCAGGCAGGAAGCUGUGGUGUGUGUGUGAACUGUCUACAGAGGCUGCAGGCGACCCGGAGGGCAGCCUGCCAGCACUGUCAGCUACAGCAUCCGGCAAGGCAGAUGGGUAAAGCAGUAAACCAGCAGAUGGAACUUAACCAGAAGAAGCUAAGGAAGAGAAGAGAGGAGAGGAGAGAGACAGUGAAGAGGCUGGAAAAGGAGGAAGAGAAGUAUGUUCUUUGGAAUCAAAGUGUUACCUGGAUUCCUACCCAGGAUUUUCCUAUUGUCUCAGGACCUAAAGGGAAAAGACCGGCCAUGGGGCAUGUGAGCCUCUGGGAAAUCUGCCUCAAGCCCAUAAUGCCAUCCGUCUACAGCAGUUGGAACAGUGUAAGAGUCAGACCUCGCCAGAUCCCAAGCGCUGCAACAUGAAGAACAAAACCAAGGUUAAGCCACAGACCAGGCCCCGUGGAGAUUUCGCUGCUUCUAGCCUGACCGUCAGGAUUUGGGUCCUGACCGCUCCCCUGGCUGUUGGGCUGGUCCCAGCUCUGGGCCUCCGUUUUCUCACCCACAGAAUGGGGACGAUACAGGACCUCCCUCAUCAGAGCUGUCACAAGUGGUAAGUGAAUGGGUUCGUGAGAAGCUCUGCAGUGCCUGGCGCAGACCAAGGGCCCCACCGAUGGUGGCUGUGAGUUUUCCCACUAAUGUAUUUUUUGAUAUGUAACAUUUUAAAAUAAAAUUUUCUCUUUUCUUUUUUCCUUCUCCUUUUAGAACCUCAAUUUCCUGAUUCCCUA